rnacentral:sRNA from 1 species
AGAGGAAAGGCUGAGGGAUUCUGGUCCUCAGAGACUGAGUGAAAAAGAUCUCUGAGAAUUCUGGGCCAACCCCAGCUGCAGAGUGAGAUUUCAAAGUUGCCAUGAAUUUUAUCAUAGCCUGAAGCAAAAUGAAGCUUUAGUUCAAUACUGGCGCCAUAUGGCUGAUAAAUACAGAAACCUGUUGAGAGACAGGAAGACAUCAGGAAAUAUAGAAGAAGCGGGAGCUGGUGGAAUAAGGAGGAGGGGUUUGUUUAUAGUCUCCUUUACAGAGCCGUACCUGCAGUUCCAGAAUUCAGGAAGCUGAGGCAGAAGGAUCACUGUGAGUUUGAGGCUGGUCUGAGCAACAUGAUGAGGCUCUGCCUUGUUGAAACCAGAAUGAAUAACAAACCGGCAGUCCCAGUCAGCAAGCUCAGCACUGGGGCGUGAGCCAGACAGGAUCUCUUGAGCCUACUGUGUCCCUGGGGCCCACGUCAGACCCAGAUGGAGAGCUGACGUGCCCAGCCUUAGAACAGGGCUGAUGUCUAGAACGCUCCAGAGACAAUGCAGAGAGAGUGCUGGAGUGGCUACUAGGCACCUCUCGCCCUUUUCUGAGGGGCUUUCCUUGGAUUAAUUCCCACUCCCUGGGGCCUGGGAGAGGCACUUGUGGCCCCCCUGUCUGAAAGGCAGUGACCCUUUGACUGUCGAGUGAGAGAUGUUUGCCGAAGGAGCCUGAAGAUUCUUCUCACGCUGUACAGAGAACUUCCCAGAUAUGUCAGUGUGCUGCGGCAGAAGUUCUUGCCUUGACUUCCUCAUCAUGACCAACUGUAACCCAGUCUACACAGUGAGCUCCAAGCCAGCGAGGGCUACACAGCAAGGCAUUGUCUCAGAAAAGUCAAUUCACUGUUUCAGGUCAUGAUCCUGACUCCAACCAGAAUAGCCUUCCGAGCUGCUCUUAUCGGAUUCGAUGGUCACCUCCCGGAUGGUCACCUCCCGGAAGCCCUGAGCAGGAACAUGGUGUUAAGCCAGGUCUCACCGGUCCGUGGAGGUCAUUGCUCUGGAAGGCAGCCUGUGUGUCCUGUGCUGAGGGUCAUAACUGGUGUCUGCCUCUGAUUCCAGCCUCCUUGUCCUGCCCUUGGAUUUGAGAGCUGGCAGCCCUGCACUGUGACUCCAGACCCAAAGAUGCAGAAAAUGAGGGGAAAAGCACGUACUGACUGGGCCGGAAGAGAAACUUGUUCAUAGCUGGGAAAGCUGAAGGAAGAGAGCAGAGAGCAAGAGUCACCAGGCUCCAAGCAGUCGGGAAUGUGUACAACCCGUGAUUCUGUGUUUGUUUCCGAAAGCCAGAGUCGGUUGGCAGAUACUGACUGAAUAGUUGGGAUUGAUGGGGAAUAAGGAACCCCUCCCGUCCUCGUGCCCAAACAUACCUCUGCCAAACACUCCCAUUCUUAGUGUUCCUCUGGAAUUUUCCUGGGCCUGUUUUUUGGUCCCUAAUGGGGACCUCGCCUUCCCCACUGUUAGUGUCUAGCCCUCUCCACAGGGAGUGUUUGUGAGCCAAGAGGAACUGGGUACAGUAAAUGCAGUCCCCGUGAAGCGGUCUGACCCCAUGUGGGGCUUGUGGUGUGGAAGGAACCCUUCAGUUUAACAGAAGGACUGCAGUGGGGGGAGGGGGCCCUGAGUAAUAAAGCUUAUUCCUCAGAUCACGUUGUAGAGAGAAUUGAUUAGUUUGACGAUUGAAACUUCUUCCGAGGCCCUUAUAGACUGGGUCCUGGAGUUCGAUGCCGGGCCCCAGAGCGUCAGUGUCAGAGGCAACUCUCGCUGGGCAUUUCAAGCUGAUGCACCAAUGUCCAAGGAGAAACCUAGAAGCCUCAAUGUCUCAGGAGAAGUAUCUGGAGUCUGGGCCGUGUUCUGGAGCAGGUGAGACUCUGGAGCUGGACUUCCAGCGUGUGAGAUACCAUCCCUGGCCUCGGAGCACGGCUUCUANGAACUGACUGGAUGGGAGGAGUAUUCCAUGGGUGNUCUCCCA